UCUUCCUAAGGAAUUCAGGAAGAGAGGUGGACAAGUGUCUGCUCACCCGGGUACCUUGGGAUUGUCCCUGAUGCCUGCAGGCUCAGUUCCAGGUGACUUGGACUUUGGUCCCAUCUCCUGACUUUGAGAAGUGAUUGGAUGUUCCCUGAGCCUUAGAGGGGUGACACUGAUGUGCUCUUUAGGGCUGAACACUCAGCAGUCACUUGUUCUCUCAGCACUGUGACCCCCCCCCCCGACUUUUGAAGCCUGUAGACCCGGACAGCUACAGAGGUCCCGCAACAGAGAUCUGCAUAUUUUCUCCUCAGUUCCUUUGGCGUGAAAACUAAGGCACCGUGUACCUUGCACCAACAUCCACUAAGAAGUUUCCUCUGUCUUAGUUUCUUGUGCAACCAGAACUGGUCUGGGAUAAGCCAGUAUAAAAACAGAGAAUGUGGACGCGUCUCUCGGAGGGUGAGUAAGUGCAGUUUAAUUGCUUACAAGCAAACAUAUUUGAGAAACUAUUUGUUUAUGGUUAGCACUCCAGCUGCCUUGUUUUGUUGACUGCCUGAAAGAUGCGGUUCAAAACCUCUCUUCCCUGCAGAGGGCAGCCUGCCUCCACAAAACAAACCCUGGUGCCCAGCGCAGUGAGUGUGGAGGACAAGCAUUAUCAUUAUUUUUAAAGCUGUGAAUGUAAA